rnacentral:rRNA from 1 species
CCUACGGGAGGCAGCAGUGAGGAAUAUUGGUCAAUGGGGGAGACCCUGAACCAGCCAAGCCGCGUGCAGGAAGACGGCCCUAUGGGUUGUAAACUUCUUUUGUCGGAGGACAAAAUCCGUGACGUGUCCCGUACUGCGGGUACCCCAAGAAAAAGCACCGGCUAAUUCCGUGCCAGCAGCCGCGGUAAUACGGAGGGUGCGGGCGUUAUCCGGAUUUAUUGGGUUUAAGGGGUGCGUAGGCGGCCCGUUAAGCGUGUGGUAAAAUGGCGGGGCUCAACCCCGGCGCGCCGUUGAAACUGGCAGGCUUGAGUGGGCGGGAGGUACGCGGAAUGCGCGGUGUAGCGGUGAAAUGCAUAGAUAUCGCGCAGAACUCCGAUUGCGAAGGCAGCGUACCGGCGCCAGACUGACGCUGAGGCACGAAGGCGUGGGGAUCGAACAGGAUUAGAUACCCCGGUAGUC